UACGUAGGGUGCAAGCGUUAAUCGGAAUUACUGGGCGUAAAGCGUGCGCAGGCGGUUAUGUAAGACAGAUGUGAAAUCCCCAGGCUCAACCUGGGAACUGCGUCUGAUACUGGAUGGCUUGAAUCCGGGAGAGGGAUGCAGAAUUCCAGGUGUAGCGGUGAAAUGCGUAGAUAUCUGGAGGAAUACCGAUGGCGAAGGCAGCCUCCUGGGCCGACACUGACGCUCAAGCACGAAAGCGUGGGGAGCAAACAGG
rnacentral:rRNA from 1 species